AAAUUGAAGAGUUUGAUCAUGGCUCAGAUUGAACGCUGGCGGCAGGCCUAACACAUGCAAGUCGAACGGUAACAGGAAACAGCUUGCUGUUUCGCUGACGAGUGGCGGACGGGUGAGUAAUGUCUGGGAAACUGCCUGAUGGAGGGGGAUAACUACUGGAAACGGUAGCUAAUACCGCAUAACGUCGCAAGACCAAAGAGGGGGACCUUCGGGC
rnacentral:rRNA from 2 species